GAUGAACGCUAGCUACAGGCUUAACACAUGCAAGUCGAGGGGCAUCAGGAAGAAAGCUUGCUUUCUUUGCUGGCGACCGGCGCACGGGUGAGUAACACGUAUCCAACCUGCCCUUUACUCGGGGAUAGCCUUUCGAAAGAAAGAUUAAUACCCGAUAGCAUAAUGAUUCCGCAUGGUUUCAUUAUUAAAGGAUUCCGGUAAAGGAUGGGGAUGCGUUCCAUUAGGUUGUUGGUGAGGUAACGGCCCACCAAGCCUUCGAUGGAUAGGGGUUCUGAGAGGAAGGUCCCCCACAUUGGAACUGAGACACGGUCCAAACUCCUACGGGAGGCAGCAGUGAGGAAUAUUGGUCAAUGGGCGCUAGCCUGAACCAGCCAAGUAGCGUGAAGGAUGAAGGCUCUAUGGGUCGUAAACUUCUUUUAUAUAAGAAUAAAGUGCAGUAUGUAUACUGUUUUGUAUGUAUUAUAUGAAUAAGGAUCGGCUAACUCCGUGCCAGCAGCCGCGGUAAUACGGAGGAUCCGAGCGUUAUCCGGAUUUAUUGGGUUUAAAGGGAGCGUAGGUGGACUGGUAAGUCAGUUGUGAAAGUUUGCGGCUCAACCGUAAAAUUGCAGUUGAUACUGUCAGUCUUGAGUACAGUAGAGGUGGGCGGAAUUCGUGGUGUAGCGGUGAAAUGCUUAGAUAUCACGAAGAACUCCGAUUGCGAAGGCAGCUCACUGGACUGCAACUGACACUGAUGCUCGAAAGUGUGGGGUAUCAAACAGGAUUAGAUACCCUGGUAGUCCACACAGUAAACGAUGAAUACUCGCUGUUUGCGAUAUACAGUAAGCGGCCAAGCGAAAGCAUUAAGUAUUCCACCUGGGGAGUACGCCGGCAACGGUGAAACUCAAAGGAAUUGACGGGGGCCCGCACAAGCGGAGGAACAUGUGGUUUAAUUCGAUGAUACGCGAGGAACCUUACCCGGGCUUAAAUUGCAGUGGAAUGAUGUGGAAACAUGUCAGUGAGCAAUCACCGCUGUGAAGGUGCUGCAUGGUUGUCGUCAGCUCGUGCCGUGAGGUGUCGGCUUAAGUGCCAUAACGAGCGCAACCCUUAUCUUUAGUUACUAACAGGUUAUGCUGAGGACUCUAGAGAGACUGCCGUCGUAAGAUGUGAGGAAGGUGGGGAUGACGUCAAAUCAGCACGGCCCUUACGUCCGGGGCUACACACGUGUUACAAUGGGGGGGUACAGAAGGCAGCUAGCGGGUGACCGUAUGCUAAUCCCAAAAUCCUCUCUCAGUUCGGAUCGAAGUCUGCAACCCGACUUCGUGAAGCUGGAUUCGCUAGUAAUCGCGCAUCAGCCACGGCGCGGUGAAUACGUUCCCGGGCCUUGUACACACCGCCCGUCAAGCCAUGGGAGCCGGGGGUACAUGAAGUACGUAACCGCAAGGAUCGUCCUAGGGUA
rnacentral:rRNA from 1 species